GUUGGCAGCAAAUUGACAAUUAAAAAACCCACGUCCUCUGAAAACCCAAAUAACAAAGUUGAAACGAUUAGUGUGAAAUUUUAUGAGACUGCACUUCCCACUGACCAAAAUGCCUCCUUUAUACUCGGUUGAGGAGGAAAAACUGAUGGUGGAUUAUAUAGUUGAGAAAAACAGGAUUUACGAUAUUAAAGGUGAUAGUCUUUGGAAAGAAAUGGAGACAAAAAAAAUAACAAAAAGGACAUGGCAAAGCAUGAAACAACGCUUCCGUAAACACAUUAUUUGGGAGAUUCAUUUUCCAAAAUACGGACUUUCACCCCAAAAAGUCCAAUUAUUUCAACAAUGUUUCCACCGUAAUUCUGGGAGAACAGCACAAAAACCCACCACAGAAAAAGAAUUCGAUUUAAUGAACAAAUCCUCUUCAGAGGAUUCCGAUUAGGUUGAUUUUAUCGAUCAAUUAUCACUUAAUCGGAAUCCUCUGAAGAGGGGAUCCCACGAAUUAUUUAAGUUUGUUACUUAUUUUAUUUUUAUCGUUAUUUUUUUAUAAUAAAACACUGAUUUCCUGUCAA